GGGGGGGGGGGGGGGGGGGGGGGGGGGGGGGGGGGGGGGGGGGGGGGGGGGGGGGGGGGGGGGGGGGGGGGGGGGGGGCCGCGCCCCAUUGUCUGUGCCCGGCUCCCCCCGGCCGCUGCCCGCUGCCUCCCGCUCAUCCCCUCCUCGCCUCUCCCCCCGCUUUGCUCCCCUUCUCCGGGGGGCUCUUCGCACCCUUCUCACUCGCUUUUUCUCCGCUCUGUCAGGUUUUUCUUUCCUUCUCCCUGGCUGGCUCUUCCCAGCCCAGUCUGCUUUUCCCGGGGCUAUCAGGUUUUCCUUUCCUUCCCUUCUCGGGGGCUUCUUCCCACCCUUCUCACUCCCUUUUUCCCUACUCGAUCAGGCUUUCCUUUCCUUCUCCCUGGCUGGCUCUUCCCACCUUUCUCACUCUGCUUUUCCCGGCUCUAUCAGGUUUUCCUUUCCUCCUCCCUGACUGGCUCUUCCCACCCUUCGCACCCUCUUUUUCCCUGCUCUAUCAGGUUUUACCUUCCCCACUUCCCCCCCAAAACAAUCAAUUAAUUAACCUCCAUUUUUCUUCAUCCUCCGCUUUCAUUCCUCCUUUCCCAAUUAUUUCUUUCGCCUUCCUUUCCCUCCGUCGCUCCGCCGCCUCUCCCUAUUUCAUCCCCGCCCUCCUCCCCGCUCUCCUGUCCCCCUGUUCCCCUCCACUCACCCUCUCCUAGGUGCCUCUCCGCCACCCGCAGCCCUUCCCGGCGCUCCUCAUCCUCCUCCUGCCAGCCGCCCGAGGGGCGGGGGGACCGGGGGGACCCCGCCCGCUGCCCCCGCGCCUGCCGGGGCUGAGCUGCGAGCGGCUCCGGGCUGCCGAGGCACAGCGAGAGGCAGCGAUUUGCAUUUCUGCCAGCCUCCCCCUCCGCCCGCUCGCCACCCCCUUCUCCCAGCCCACCACCCACUCGCCCGCCCGCGGCCGCUCCCGCACCGCCGCUACGCCCCGAAAAUGCAGAAAUAACCCCCCAAAACGCCGAGCCGUCAGCGCGGCUCAGCCUGCGGGCGAUCCCCGCCGCUUUCCCGUGCCCGGUGCUCCCGAUGCCGUCGGGGCGCGGCUCUCCCGUCCCGCCCGCGCAUCCCGGGAGGUUGGAGGGGAAAGAAAGCGGCUCAGACCCUCCCGAUCCGUGCGGGA
rnacentral:lncRNA from 12 species